UGCCAAGAAACUUCUAUCCUUACCUCCGCGUGGCACCGGCUGUGCUGCGAGCAACCUUAGGAAAGAUCGGGUAAUGUUCACUGGUGGGAACUUUGAUCGCAGGCUGACAGGGAAGA
rnacentral:ribozyme from 1 species